rnacentral:rRNA from 1 species
UACGUAGGGUGCAAGCGUUGUCCGGAAUUAUUGGGCGUAAAGAGCUUGUAGGCGGUUUGUCGCGUCUGCUGUGAAAUUUCGGGGCUCAACCCCGAACUUGCAGUGGGUACGGGCAGACUAGAGUGUGGUAGGGGGAGACUGGAAUUCCUGGUGUAGCGGUGAAAUGCGCAGAUAUCAGGAGGAACACCGGGUGGCGAAGGCGGGUCUCUGGGGCCGAUGACUGACGCUGAGGCGCGAAAGCUAGGGGAGCAAACGGG